GACGAACGCUGGCGGCGUGCUUAACACAUGCAAGUCGAGCGGUAAGGCCCUUUCGGGGGUACACGAGCGGCGAACGGGUGAGUAACACGUGGGUGACCUGCCCUUAGCUCUGGGAUAAGCCUGGGAAACUGGGUCUAAUACCGGAUAUGACUCCAUGACGCAUGUUGUGGGGUGGAAAGCCUUGUGCGGCUAGGGAUGGGCCCGCGGCCUAUCAGCUUGUUGGUGGGGUGAUGGCCUACCAAGGCGACGACGGGUAGCCGGCCUGAGAGGGCGACCGGCCACACUGGGACUGAGACACGGCCCAGACUCCGUACGGGAGGCAGCAGGUGGGGAAUCUUGCGCAAUGGGACGAAAGCCUGACGCAGCGACGCCGCGUGAGGAUGAC
rnacentral:rRNA from 1 species